AGCGAACGCUGGCGGCAGGCCUAACACAUGCAAGUCGAACGAACUCUUCGGAGUUAGUGGCGGACGGGUGAGUAACACGUGGGAACGUGCCUUUAGGUUCGGAAUAACUCAGGGAAACUUGUGCUAAUACCGAAUGUGCCCUUCGGGGGAAAGAUUUAUCGCCUUUAGAGCGGCCCGCGUCUGAUUAGCUAGUUGGUGAGGUAAAGGCUCACCAAGGCGACGAUCAGUAGCUGGUCUGAGAGGAUGAUCAGCCACAUUGGGACUGAGACACGGCCCAAACUCCUACGGGAGGCAGCAGUGGGGAAUCUUGCGCAAUGGGCGAAAGCCUGACGCAGCCAUGCCGCGAGAAUGAUGAAGGUCUUAGGAUUGUAAAAUUCUUUCACCGGGGACGAUAAUGACGGUACCCGGAGAAGAAGUCCCGGCUAACUUCGUG
rnacentral:rRNA from 1 species